rnacentral:rRNA from 1 species
ACGGCGAGUGAAGCGGCAACAGCUCAAAUUUGAAAUCUGGCGUAAGCCCGAGUUGUAAUUUGUAGAGGAUGCUUCUGGGUAGCGGCCGGUCUAAGUUCCUUGGAACAGGACGUCAUAGAGGGUGAGAAUCCCGUAUGUGACUGGCUUGCACCCUCCACGUAGCUCCUUCGACGAGUCGAGUUGUUUGGGAAUGCAGCUCUAAAUGGGAGGUAAAUUUCUUCUAAAGCUAAAUACCGGCCAGAGACCGAUAGCGCACAAGUAGAGUGAUCGAAAGAUGAAAAGCACUUUGGAAAGAGAGUUAAAAAGCACGUGAAAUUGUUGAAAGGGAAGCGCCCGCAACCAGACUUUGCGGCGGUGUUCGGCUGGUCUUCUGACCGGUUUACUCGCCGCCGUGAGGCCAUCAUCGUCUGGGACCGCUGGAUAAGACCUGAGGAAUGUAGCUCCCUUCGGGGUGUGUUAUAGCCUCUGGUGAUGCAGCGCGUCUCGGGCGAGGUCCGCGCUUCGGCAAGGAUGAUGGCGUAAUGGUUGUCGGCGGCCCGUCUUGAAACACGGACCAAGGAGUCUAACAUCUAUGCGAGUGUUCGGGUGUCAAACCCCUACGCGUAAUGAAAGUGAACGGAGGUGGGAACUUUUUGUGCACCAUCGACCGAUCCUGAUGUCCUCGGAUGGAUUUGAGUAAGAGCAUAGCUGUUGGGACCCGAAAGAUGGUGAACUAUGCCUGAAUAGGGUGAAGCCAGAGGAAACUCUGGUGGAGGCUCGCAGCGGUUCUGACGUGCAAAUCGAUCGUCAAAUUUGGGUAUAGGGGCGAAAGACUAAUCGA